AGCCUGGACAGAGAAGGAGUCAAGGGAGCCAGUGCCUUUAGACCUGCUCCAUACUUGGAGAAGCUCCGAAUGUUCUGUGUGGGGGAACCCACGAACGCCUAUUUGCCCUUCCUGAAUCCCCGAAUCUACCUGGGUUCAGAUACUGACUGGCACCGAGGACACCGAGCUGGCUCGGGAUUCCCGGGUCACGCUGUUGGGCAUCGAGAGGGUGCAGCAGGACACGCCCACGGUGGCCUCGGGCAACUCGUCGUCCUCCGUCCACUCGUUGAGCUCCGGGCUGAAGCACUGGAUGCACUUCUUGUACUUCUUCUCGCCCUCGUUCCAGCCCCCCAGCAGGGUCUCUGUACAGGAUGUCUCUACUAAGGGACUUCUCAGUAAGGCCUGGACGUCCCCCAACAGUGACGAGGACUCGACAGCCCCCACGGAUUCUCGUGCGCCUAGACUGCAAUGUGUUUUGAUGAUAUGGAAGUGUACAUUCCUGGGGAGCUGCGUAUCUUCAUAUUGCCGCGCAACCAUCGCCACCUGCCAUCUCCAGAAAUUUUUCAUCUUCCCAAACUGGAAUCCCUCCAGUCCCUCCAGUCUCCCUCCAGUUCCCAGCAACCACCCUCCAUCCUCUUCUUGCUUUUUAAUGAGUGAAUUCUUUUAAAGAUGUUCUUUUGGACAACAUUUUUUACCUAUCAGAGGUAAUUCUGUUCUUAGGAACUAUAAUGAAUGCAAAUAAUCAUUCAUGAUAUUUUGGGUGAACCAACUAUGCUCUUGUUUCCAAAAUGGUUAAGGUUUUAUUCAUUUACUGGGUCAUUCAUUCAUUCUUUCAACAACAAAUUAUUACAUCAUGUCUUAGCCUGGGUUUCCCUGAAAGCAGAGCCUGAGACAAGAGGUGUAUUUGGGAAGCGAUCCCGGGGAGGCGUGAGAGGCCAGGAGACUGAAAAAGGACAGAGGGGAAGACAGCAGCACAAGGAUGCAUUAAAAAGUUGGCUAGCACUGUGGGCUGCUGUGCCCCAGCCCCCUGGACCUCUUGAGAUUUCUGAAGUGGAUCUCGUAACCGUCCACAUGGACCAAGAAUGGCCUCACAGGCAUUAACACUCUGGCCUCUGGCUUGUGUAUUCUUGUGAGUCAAGUGGGUUCUCCCAGGAUUCUGUACCUUGGGCCAGAGAAGCACCAGGGCAGGAAGAGAGAGCGAUGUGGCAUGGGCCCAGUGGGGUACUGACACAUUAUACCUGCAUCAUGUAGCUGAAUGCUUGCACAGAACUGGGGGCUGGGGUAGUGGCUGGAACAGGAGGUGGGCACAGGUGGUGCUCCAUACACAGGCACUGAACUAGGCACUGGACUGGAGCCACGGCAGUAAGCAAAAGAAGGCACGGGCCCUUCCUUCUGGAACGUACAGACACAGAUAGGUGAUAGAAAAUAGGAGCCCUGGGGCAGCUGCAGAAUUGUUCUGCUGGAUACUCAUGACUCUGGACGAUUAUGAAUGAGCCGUCCAACCACUUGAGAAUAGCUGCUGGACACUGUACAAGGAAGACGGGCGAAUACAUUGAGGAGCAAGAGCAUACAGGUCCAGCCUCAUGAAUAUGGUG